ACACUGACGUCGCGACGCAUAUCAAUAAGCGGAGGAAAAGAAACUAACAAGGAUUCCCUUAGUAACGGCGAGUGAAGCGGGAAGAGCUCAAAUUUGAAAUCUUCAAGGUUCUACCUUGACGAAUUGUAGUUUAUAGAAGUGUUUUCUGUUAGUAGAGUGGCAAAAGUUCUUUGGAAUAGGACAUCAUAGAGGGUGAGAAUCCCGUAUUUGGUCAUUCUUUCUAGCUUUGUGAUACACUUUCAACGAGUCGGAUUGUUUGGGAAUGCAGUCCAAAAUGGGUGGUAAAUUUCAUCUAAAGCUAAAUAUUGGCGAGAGACCGAUAGCGAACAAGUACCGUGAGGGAAAGAUGAAAAGAACUUUGAAAAGAGAGUUAAACAGUACGUGAAAUUGUCAAAAGGGAAGCGUUUGACACCAGUGUUGUUUUUCUGAAAAUCAAUUAAAGAACUGUUUAUGCUAAGUUGUUUAGACUUUAUCAGCUAACUGUUUAGUUUUGAGCUUUUCUUUAAUGCACUUUUCAGUUAACAAGUCAACAUCAAUUUCUUUUGCUGUAAAAAAGCUUGAGGAAGGUGGCUUGAGAUUCGUCUUAAGUGUUUAUAGCCUCUUGCCUAUGCAGUCGGAGAGAUUGAGGUCUGCAGCGUAGAUCCUUCGGGGCUAAAUGCAUUUGUGCUAAGUUAUAGCAUUUUAUAGACAACUUGUUGACUAUGAUUUGUCUUGUAGCUUACUCGCUUAUGUUAUUUUACCUACGCUUAGGAUGUUGAUGUGAUACUGCGAGC
rnacentral:rRNA from 1 species